rnacentral:rRNA from 1 species
UACGGGGGGGGCAAGCGUUGUUCGGAAUUACUGGGCGUAAAGCGUGCGCAGGCGGUUAUUUAAGUCAGGUGUGAAAGCCCUGGGCUUAACCUAGGAAUUGCGCUUGAGACUGGAUAGCUUGGAGUGCGGCAGAGGGAGGUGGAAUUCCACGUGUAGCAGUGAAAUGCGUAGAUAUCGUAAGGAAGACCAGUGGCGAAGGCGGGUCUCUGGACAGUUCCUGACGCUGAGGCACGAAGGCCAGGGGAGCAAACGGG